GUCGAGCUUGGUAACGCGGGCUUGUGAUCCGAGUGGAGACAACAAGAUGUUGGAACUAUGGGCCGAUCUCAUUAGGCCGGGUUCGGGUUGGCUAUUCACUGGCCUGCCCAUUCCAAGUCGGGAGUUGAGGGUUCGGGCUCGAGCGAAGGCUUGUGGUUCGGGCAUUCUUAGAGCGGAGGAGACUGCGUGAGGCUGGUUUCACAGAGCAGCGUCCACCUCCCGCUUUCGACGGUGGAAGGAUCACGGGCCGGUGCCUUCUGAGCCCACUAUGACCUAAUAAGCUGGUUUCAACUGGACCAACAUCUUUUU
rnacentral:SRP_RNA from 1 species